GCUACGGGAGGCUGCAGUGGGGGAUAUUGGACAAUGGGGGAAACCCUGAUCCUGCGACGCCGCGUGAGUGAAGAAGUAUUUCGGUAGGUAAAGCUCUGUCAGCAGGGAAGAAAGAAAUGACGGUACCUGACCAAGAAGCCCCGGCUAACUACGUGCAGGCAGCCGCGGUAAUACGUAGGGGGCAAGCGUUAUCCGGAAUUACUGGGUGUAAAGGGAGCGUAGACGGGGAUGCAAGUCUGGAGUGAAAGGCGGGGGCCCAACCCCCGGACUGCUCUGGAAACUGUGUAACUUGAGUGCAGGAGAGGUAAGCGGAAUUCCUAGUGUAGCGGUGAAAUGCGUAGAUAUUAGGAGGAACACCAGUGGCGAAGGCGGCUUACUGGACUGUAACUGACGUUGAGGCUCGAAAGCGUGGGGAGCAAACAGGAUUAGAUACCCUGGUAGUC
rnacentral:rRNA from 1 species